AAGACUAUAUUUUCAGGGAUCAUUUCUAUAGUUUGUUACUAGAGAAGGUUCUCUGAACAUGUAGAGCACCCAAAACCACAAGGAGGAAAUGCAACGCUCUCUCCUGAGAGUGAAAGCAGCACUUGGUUCUGCUUCUGCAACUGCCAUUGGCCACUUAAUGGUCAUUCUUCUCUUCCUUUGGGAGAGUAAGAAGGAGAGAACGUGGUCUGAGUGGUA
ensembl:snoRNA